rnacentral:rRNA from 1 species
AGUGAACGCUGGCGGUAGGCCUAACACAUGCAAGUCGAACGGCAGCACAGUAAGAGCUUGCUCUUACGGGUGGCGAGUGGCGGACGGGUGAGGAAUACAUCGGAAUCUACUUUUUCGUGGGGGAUAACGUAGGGAAACUUACGCUAAUACCGCAUACGACCUACGGGUGAAAGCAGGGGAUCUUCGGACCUUGCGCGAUUGAAUGAGCCGAUGUCGGAUUAGCUAGUUGUCGGGGUAAAGGCCCACCAAGGCGACGAUCCGUAGCUGGUCUGAGAGGGUGAUCAGCCACACUGGAACUGAGACACGGCCCAGACUCCUACGGGAGGCAGCAGUGGGGAAUAUUGGACAAUGGGCGCAAGCCUGAUCCAGCCAUACCGCGUGGGUGAAGAAGGCCUUCGGGUUGUAAAGCCCUUUUGUUGGGAAAGAAAAGCAGCAGGUUAAUACCCCGCUGUUCUGACGGUACCCAAAGAAUAAGCACCGGCUAACUUCGUG